rnacentral:rRNA from 1 species
GACGAAGGAUGCAAGCGUUAUCCGGAUUCAUUGGGUUUAAAGGGAGCGUAGGUGGCCUGCUAAGUCAGCGGUGAAAUCUCUGGGCUUAACCCAGAAAUUGCCAUUGAUACUGGUGGGCUUGAGUGCAGUUGCUGUUGGCGGAAUAUGACAUGUAGUGGUGAAAUACAUAGAGAUGUCAUAGAACACCGAUUGCGAAGGCAGCUAACAAAACUGUAACUGACACUGAGGCUCGAAAGUGUGGGGAUCAAACAGG